AAACAUUUGGCAGAUGAUGACUACACUAACCUUAUGAAGCUACACAUAGAAAUCUUGUGAAGCUACACCUAGGACAACAAUGAACAGGCUAGGAGCUCUGUGUUUUGCUACUGCAGUCCUGGUGGUCACUGCUGACAGAUAUGACUCUCUUUCUCCUGAAGAGAAAACACUCACCAACCAACUAAUCAGACUUGCUAAUGAACAAUUCAAAAAAUCUAACAAACAUUUGGACUAUUCUGAAACCCUUGAAAAGGGGACAAAUUUGAGAAUACUGUUGAAGCCAACAACAUGCCAAAGACGAGACAGCGACCUCAAACAUCGACCGGAGUGUAAAAUACUGCCGGCCAGAAUGCCACACAUUGACUGCAUUGCUUGUCAGCUGGGAAAUUUCGUUGACUGCCAGCGCUCGCGUGAAGUGUGGAAGAGUGAACAGACCCGAAAUCAAAUGUGUGGAUAUCAUUUUGGGUGGCAUGGAGUGUCAGGUCUCGUGGCGCCACCGGAUCAAUAAAUAAUAAUGAUAAUAAAAAAAACAGUAAAUAAAUAAUCUUUCUUGUAAGAAA